rnacentral:pre_miRNA from 1 species
ACAACAUUCGGACCGUCGGCGUCGGUCUACCGAACAUUAUCACACGCUCGGUGGAAGAUCUUUCCCUCCGUCGU